rnacentral:tRNA from 1 species
CGCGGGGUGGAGCAGUUCGGUAGCUCGCUGGGCUCAUAAUCCAGAGGUCGCAGGUUCAAAUCCUGUCCCCGCUAC